rnacentral:sRNA from 1 species
GAAAGCGGCCGCGUCGGAAAUGCUUGUCCCAUCUAGAGUGACCACGGAUGUACUGGCACCAAUGAAUGGGGGUGGAAAGGUCGGGCUUGCCCCGGCCUUUUUGUUU